rnacentral:sRNA from 1 species
GCCGUUGGGUCGGGAAAGUGAGGGAUUUUUCGCCUCGUUUCUCCUGCUUCUUUUCUCCUCCCUUUUACUUUGCCGGUAGAACACAGUUAUGGGUCGCAAGAAGAAGAAGCAGCUGAAGCCGUGGUGCUGGUAUUGUAAUAGAGAUUUUGAUGAUGAGAAGAUCCUUAUUCAGCACCAAAAAGCAAAGCAUUUUAAAUGCCAUAUAUGUCACAAGAAAUUGUAUACAGGACCUGGCUUAGCUAUUCAUUGCAUGCAGGUACAUAAAGAAACAAUAGAUGCCGUACCAAAUGCAAUACCUGGAAGAACAGACAUAGAGUUGGAAAUAUAUGGUAUGGAAGGUAUUCCAGAAAAAGACAUGGAUGAAAGACGACGACUUCUUGAACAGAAAACACAAGAAAGUCAAAAAAAGAAGCAACAAGAUGAUUCUGAUGAAUAUGAUGAUGACGACUCUGCAGCCUCAACUUCAUUUCAGCCACAGCCUGUUCAACCUCAACAAGGUUAUAUUCCUCCAAUGGCACAGCCAGGACUGCCACCAGUGCCAGGAGCACCAGGAAUGCCUCCAGGCAUACCUCCAUUAAUGCCAGGUGUUCCUCCUCUGAUGCCAGGAAUGCCACCAGUUAUGCCAGGCAUGCCACCUGGGUAAGAAAAUUCUUUUAAUUGCCCUGUAGGCUUGUGCCUAGUAAUGAUCUUUUUCAAUUUGGAUGUUAUAUGAAUGAAAUGUUACUUUCCAUUUUUUGCUUCUAGAAGGUAUGGGCUGUAUAUAUCUUGUCUAAUAAAGGGAUCAACCAGUAAAUUUAAGGAAUAUAAAUUUGCCUCUGAGUAAUAGAUUUUUGGGUUUUAGGGUAUAUGUAAGCAACCAUCUACUUCAAUUGCAUUUACUGUGAUUAAAGUAGUUGGUUAUUUAUAGAUUUGCGUUUCUGAGAUUCAGAAUUAUCUGUGACACUUUGUAGUUGUGACAAGAAGCAGAGAAACUCUGUAAAUGAUUUAUUUGUCAAAGCAUCAAAA